rnacentral:ncRNA from 1 species
CGGAGUCGGGUUGUUUGGGAAUGCAGCCCAAAGCGGGUGGUAAACUCCAUCUAAAGGCUAAAUACGGUCACGAGACCGAUAGCGAACAAGUACCGUGAGGGAAAGUUGAAAAGCACUUUGGAGAGAGAGUUAAAAAGUACGUGAAACCGUCGAGAGGCAAACGGGAGGGCCUGUCGGGUCGUUCGGUCGCUUUCAGGCGGGCCGGAGACCGGGUCGCGGGAUCGGGGACCUUCGCGGGCCUCGACUCGCGUCGCCGGCCGACGGCUCGGCGCACUAGCGUCGGACGAGGGCCGCGACCGGCUGGGCGGCGGGCAAACGGCUCCGGGCAAGGUAACCCCGCUUCGGCGGGGUGCUACAGGCCCGGUGCGCGCAAGGGUCGCCGCCCGGUCGAGGAGAGAUGCGCGCCGCACCUGCCCCGUUAGCGGGGCCGGGGAAGCCGUUCGAGCAGCGUCGUGUCGCGGUCCGGGACUGUCCUCAGUCCCGGGUCGUCUCGGCGCGGUUCCGAGCGGUCGCUCCCUCGCGAGGUGCCGCGGGUCAGCGGCUGACGCCAGCCACCUUCCCGACCCGUCUUGAAACACGGACCAAGGAGUCUAACAUGUGCGCGAGCCGCGGGGCAGUACGAAACCCGUAAGGCGAAAUGAAGGUGAACGCCGGCGCGGUCCGGCGGAGACUCAACGAAAGUGGAAUACAACUCAUAUGCAACCCAGCAAAUCAGCAAAAUUUGAAAGUUUAUUGCGAUCAAACCACUGACAACGGUGGUUGGCUGGUCGGAGUUUUAGUCAUUGAAAUGUUUCUCACAGCUAAUAAACAAACUUUUUAGGUUUUCCAGCGUCGGACGGAUGGUUCUGAAGAUUUCUAUCGAACUUGGAUUGAAUAUCAGGGAAUGUUUGGAAACCUUAGCAACGAGUUCUGGUUGGGUGGGUUUCAAUUUCAUAAUAUUUAUUUUUAAUAUUUAUUACUUCAAUUAGUUGAUAUGAUUGAAUCUAAAUUUAGGGAACGAAAAUCUUCAUGCUCUUACUCGAUCCGGAAAAUAUGAAUUACGGAUUGAAUUGGAAAGUUGGGUAAACGUGAAAAAGUUUGCAAAAUAUAGGUAAGAACCAUACAAAUGUACAAUUAAUUUAUUAAUAGAAAUUAUAUUAACAGCUCUUUUUCCAUUGGCUCCGCUCAAGAAAAGUAUUCUUUGAAUGUGUCAGGUUACUCUGGGAAUGCAGGUAAGAAUGUAAACAUAUGAGGGUUGGAAAUCCGUAAUCGCUUUCAAUUAUCAUUUG